ACCUGCCAUAGUAAGAAUGCACCAGAUCUUGUCAGAUCUCAGAAGCUAAGCAGGUUUGAGCUUUGGUAGUGCUUGGAUGGGGAACUACCAUGCACACCAGGUUGUCAUAGGUG
rnacentral:rRNA from 1 species